rnacentral:rRNA from 1 species
CAAUAGCGUAUAUUUAAGUUGCUGCAGUUAAAAAGCUCGUAGUUGGAUUUCGGGUGGGAAUGGCCGGUCCGCCGUUUCGGUGUGCACUUGCUACGCCCACCUUGCUGCCGGGGACGUGCUAUUGAGUUCACGCUCGGGACACGGAGUCGGCGAGGUUACUUUGAGUAAAUUAGAGUGUUCAAAGCAGGCCUACGCUCUGAAUACAUUAGCAUGGAAUAACACGAUAGGACUCUGGCCUAUCUUGUUGGUCUGUAGGACCGGAGUAAUGAUUAAGAGGGACAGUCGGGGGCAUUCGUAUUUCAUUGUCAGAGGUGAAAUUCUUGGAUUUAUGAAAGACGAACUACUGCGAAAGCAUUUGCCAAGGAUGUUUUCAUUAA